rnacentral:rRNA from 1 species
CCUACGGGCGGCAGCAGUGAGGAAUAUUGGUCAAUGGACGCAAGCCUGAACCAGCCAUGCCGCGUGAAGGAAGACUGCCCUAUGAGUUGUAAACUGCUUUUGUACGAGGGUAAACUCCGAUACGCGUACCUGUCUGCAAGUAUCUUACGAAUAAGGAUCGGCUAACUCCGUGCCAGCAGCCGCGGUAAUACGGAGGAUUCAAGCGUUAUCCGGAUUUAUUGGGUUUAAAGGGUGCGUAGGCGGUCGGAUAAGUUAGAGGUGAAAUCCCGAGGCUCAACUUCGGAAUUGCCUCUGAUACUGGUAGGCUAGAGAGUAGUUGCGGUAGGCGGAAUGUAUGGUGUAGCGGUGAAAUGCUUAGAGAUCAUACAGAACACCGAUUGCGAAGGCAGCUUACCAAGCUACUUCUGACGUUGAGGCACGAAAGCGUGGGGAGCAAACAGGAUUAGAUACCCGGGUAGUC